GCAUGAGGGGACCCGGCCGCGCUUCGGGGCUGUCCACACUGCGCCUGAUAAAAAUUAUUCGGGCUUGAGGACCUCGGCGCUCCCAGAGUUUUGUAAAAUUGAGUACAAAGUCCUCAAAGGUGGUCUGUGGCGGAUAUUUACGGGAAAUGGGGCGAAGGUGAGCCCCCCUCUUCGGGCCGUGUGAUCAGGCGUCUGCGGUAGGCAGCCCGAUCCCAGGAUGGGUCCUCGGCCGGCUAGACUAGAAGACUAAGGGGGCGUCUCCCCGGCUUCCUGCGGCGUCGGUGGCGAGCUGAGGUGGAGUCAGGCUGCGGCAGACGGCGACAGUGGCGGCGGCGCCAUGGCAGGGCUUGCAGAUUUCGUGGUUCUGCAAAGUCUUGACAAGCUGAAGACUCAUACCUGGAAAGGAUGAUAAAGAGACUGGGAUGAAAGUAAAAUGAAGGACCACCACUAUCUGGCUGCCCUAGAAUCAGAACCCAAAAAGGCUUUUUGGGAUAAAGAGGUCAGUCUAUCUAAAGCUAGCAAAUUGUUGGGAGAUACUAAGGGAAUCUAAAGCUGAAAUGCUAUUGGCAGGCCCCAAAACUCAGUCCUGAGAACUCUUCAUUUCCAUCCAACUGGGAACCAUCACAAAUGAGGAUCUGAUGGGAGUUGGGGAGUAACCCAGUCAGAACAGCCUUUGAGAUGGGAUUCUGUCAGCAAGAAACAGGACGGCAUUUGAGUGGUGAAAGUAGCAGGGCCAUGGAGAAGGCUACUGGCUUCUCUAGAUCACUGGGAGUGGGGAGAAGUAGACAUAAGGAGUGAGUGUGGAUGAGGCAGGGACACAGGAGAAAGGGUAGGCUGGGGAGAAGGAAGCAGUGAAAGAUGAUAGAAGGAAAGCCAACUUCUAUUGAAUAGCUGCAGGAAAGGAGGCCAGAGAAGGGCUGUCACCUGUGUCCAUUUGAUGGGUAGAGCCAGAACCCUGUCUCCUAGCAUCGAAUGCAAAACUCACUCCCCAAUGUACCAAAAUGUAUGAAAGGGCCACUGUUCUGAAAAGAGGAAUGACUGAAGAAGUGCUCUCCUUGAUGGAAGAUGGUCCUGCCUAGAGAGCUUGGCCUGUCUCAGCCCAGCAACUCUCCCUCCCCAGUAUCUUCCUGAAAGUCCCAGGAAGAACACAGUUUGAUUUGCCAAGCUUCAGGGGGAGAAUGAAGUAUGUUGAGAAAAACUUCUAUUGUUAGGCAGGCUUGAGGUAAAGAAGAAAAGCUGGCUAAGCAGCAACUGAAGGCUUCAGACAGAAGCCCUGGGUCUCCCUUUGGGAUCCUGGAAAAGGGACUCAGAGGCUGGGCAGAGAUAGACUUGAAGGACUGAAGAACCUUGAUGCAAGGCUUGAGGGAGUCCCAGUGCUUACUCCCUGCCUUUGUGACUAUACCUCACCUGUCACAUAGAGAACACACCACCACCACAGCAUCUGCCCCAAGGCACAGUCUCCAUAAAUGUUAUUUCCUCUGUUUUAUGGCUCUCUGCCACUGGCCCUUACUAAGCUCCAGCCUGUUAGGGAUGUGAUCUGAUCCCCCAGCUCUCCCUCUCAUUCAUUCAUUUGAGGAGCAUUUGCCAGGCUCUUUUCCAAGCUCUGAGAAGCUGGUGCAGAAUGACUAUGCCCUCCUUGUGGAGCUCAGAUCAGCAGGAGGGAGGGCAGAGUCAUUCUUGUGGGUAGAUAAUACCAUGUUAUUAUGGCUUUAGUGGAGUUAGGUAGAGAUUAUUUGGGAGACCAUAUCUCAGGACCUCUGUGUGAAGUCCAUUAAUUAUUUUUUACCUUCUCUGCAAAGGCAGUAUCCUGAAAAGGAAAACACCAAGGUAUAGCCUUAUUUCUGGGAGACCAAAGUCCUCAGUUUGAGCCCCUACUUAGCCACCAGUUUACCCAGCAACCCUCCAUGGAUUUCCCUCUCUUGGAGGGUAACCCCUGUCUGUCCAGCCUCCUCCCCAUGAGGAACCAGAGGAGGCAUAUGUUUGAGAGCGCUUUGUCAAAUAUCCCAAAGGGUUAGAUACGAGUCUUCUCCAAAGACUAAUCUUCUGGGUGGUUCUGGCCUCUCACUGCUUUUCCUGAGCAGCUUGUGUGGAGCCUGUACUUGGACAGCUCAACACCUUUUCCAAAGCCAAACCCUCUGCCAGCCUCCUGCCCCACACUGGUAGUGGUGACCCUCCAAGGAAGGGGCAGGCAGGCAGGUGCUAAGGCCCUGGGGCUGAUUCCCAUCCACUUUCCAUGUGGCUUUGCUCUCCUUACUCUUCGCUAGGCCUCUGUUUCCCCAUUUAUAAGUCAAGGAGGGGGCUGGACCAAGAUGUCUUUAACAUUUCCAAAGCUGUCUUCUGUGAAACAUCAGUGACAUUUAUCUCCUUGUCAUUUUAAUCUUAGAGAUUAGUGGUAGAAAGAAAGUGUAUUAAGACAAUCAAGUGUUUAAUCAAAGGAUCUUUUGCAUUAAAAAAUAAACUUGAAGUCUCUUGAGUGCAGAACUGUCAAGGAUCUUAGCUGAGAGCCAAAGAAGACAUGGAAGUGUCUAUGAGGCAGAGAAAAAGCCCUUCAGUAAUUCCGUAUUGUUUAUGGACCCAAUCCCUUGGCUUGGUCAUCAAGACCCUGCACAACCCUUAAAGAUAAGGGGCUUAGUCUUUGUUCCUUGACCAAGCACAGAACCUACCUGACCAGGCCCGGCAUAGUACCUGCUGGUUGGCUGACCUGGUGGCUAGAUGAAUAGGUGGUUCAAUCAAUUGCUAAGAAUCCCUAAGUAAUUGGGUGGCCCAGUCUUUCCUAGAAGGAAAGGAACUCCGUUCGCCUCCCAAAUCUCUUGGCAACUCUGAAGUUACAGAGAUUAUUUUCCAGCCUGCAGAGUAGUAUUUUGAACAAAGAUAUGUGAGAAGAACCUUAUAAAAGACUGCCCAGGGCCGGGCGCGGUUGCUCACGCUUGUAAUCCCAGCACUUUGGGAGGCCGAGGCGGGUGGAUCACGAGGUCAGGAGAUCGAGACCACGGUGAAACCCCGACUCUACUAAAAAUACAAAAAAUUAGCCGGGCGUGGUGGCGGGCGCCUGUGGUCCCAGCUACUCAGAGAGGCUGAGGCAGGAGAAUGGUGUGAACCCCGGAGGCGGAGCUUGCAAUGAGCCGAGAUUGCGCCACUGCACUCCAGCCUGGGCGACAGAGCGAGACUCCGUCUCAAAAAAAAAAAAAAAAAAAAAAAACUGCCCAGCCUGGCAUCCUCACUGUGGCAACAGCCCACAUGUGGUUAAGGAGUAGCCCCACCAGGUGGUAGACACCCUGUAAGAUCUGAAUGUAGGUGGACUCCUGGGUCACUUAUAAGCCAAGGGGAUUCCCUCUUCUUCCCUCCCUCUACCUUUCCCACACCCUAACCCUGCAUAUGGGACUUCCCCAGCUUUCCUGCUUUUAUGAGUUCCUCCCCAUAGGCUGGCAGGCAGGUGAGCUUGCAGGAGUGCAGAUCAUGAACCACUGUUUCACAGAGAGUUGACCGAAGCUCUGCUGAGAGGUUUCUUGACUUGCCCAAGAGUUCACAGCUAGACCAGGCUGGCCCUUGAUUCCUGAACUCUGAUCACAUCUUAGAUGGUCCUCUGCCUUGCUCAUUUUCCCAUUUCCAUCUCCUCCUUCCCUCCUAGAUCAUGAGUGUCCUCUUUAGGGUAACAGUCUGAGAACUCCCUGCAGCCGGGCCCCACUGCCACACACACCCAUAUGAGCCCAUCACCGGGAUUUAAGUCCUUUCGUCCUAUUCCCUCAGACCAUUCCGGGGAAAAACUGACCUCAGUCCAACCCCCAGACUCCAGCUACAAUACUGUGGGGGUUAGACUACUAUUCACAGAUGGGGUGGGCCAUUUGGGGGGCUGCUUUUUGGUGGUUGGCUUUGGGUUUUGUUUGUUUUUACUUACUGGCCAAAUAGGAUCCAGUUCUUCUUUCCACCCUCAGAGCCAUUUUUAUGAACACCAUAUGGUUCCAUUUUGUACUGACAGGAACUGGGGACCACAGGCACAUAGCACACACCACAGCUACUGUGACUAAUAGCCCUGGCAGCUGUGCCCUCCUAACAGUCUGGGUGUGCAGUAUGAGUGAUGUCCAGAACCAGCAAGAUUAGAUUGGGCCUCCCGAUCCCUGGUCGUGAUGACACCACUGCACCUCUAGUCCUGUCUCUCUGGUCCCUUGAUUUUUCCUAUAUCCAUCUCCUUCUUUUAAUUCAGAUCAUCUCUUGCUGAACAGUUGCACCAGAUGUCUCUCUGCUUUCAAUCUUGUCUCUUUCAACCCACCAACCAAAUGGCUACCAUUGGCCAUCUUUACCAGCUUAGGUCAUGUUCUGUGGCUCUUGGCUUAACUUUGUCCUUCCCUAUUGCCUAAAGGGUGGCAUUCUCUCUGUUAAUAGAGCAGAGCACUUCACAGUCUGGUUCCCUACCCCUAGGUGUUCCUGCUCUGCUUCUGCAGGUGCCCAGCCAGAGGAGCCCACCUGUCCUCCCGGAAGAGAUGGCCCCUUUCACUUGGGAUUCCAGGAGAUUGCCCAGGGAGAAGGUGUGGAGGGAGGGGUUUUGAGAAGGAAUAUGAAGCCUCCAGUGGUAAGCAGCACCAGCAAGACGACCAAGAAGAGACAGUUGGGUUGGUCAGUUAGGAGGUCUUGUCAUCCAUCUUGGGGUUGGCAGAGCAAUAGAGACAGACAUCACAUCACCAUGGGAAGAGAAGAGAAUAAGAGGAAGAAGUGGAGAUGAGAGGAACAGGUCACCUCUUCCAACUAUAAAGGGAAAGAGGUAGAUGAGUGGAAGUGACCCAUUUGGACUGUUCUUUUUUUAUUUAGCUAAUAUUUGGCCUGUGCUUUUCUGGAUCAGGCCCUGAUGAGCAUUUUGUCAACAAUACCUCCCUGAAACCUUAAGAGAACAUCCUAGGGUUGACAUGGUUUUGCCCACUAUACAGAAGAGCUUCAAAAGAUGAGGGCACUUGCCCAAGAUGGGGGGCAGAGCUGGGAUUUGUGUCCCAUUCUGUUGCCCUUCAGAGCCUCACUUUCACCACUGUCCUUGUCUUCCCUGUAGUCAUGAGGGGAAGAAGGAGGUGGAGGGCUGCCUGCAGUUAGGGAGCUGGGGCAAAGGCACCAGGGAGGCUGCCGGUUCUCAGAUAGGACUGGAAGUCUGGGACACAUCACUGUUCAGAGGGGGAAGGGGCCAGGGAAGAGAGAGGCUAUUUUUAAUAGCCAAAUAGGAGAUAUGAGCCCAUUAAAAACCAGGAGGAAAGGAAUAAAAUGUUUAACAAGUAUCUGAGUGGAGGACCUCUCUAAGCUGAAAAGCAAUGACAUGACAUCAAGAAGACAAAGGCCACCAGCGAACAGGGAUAAGUGAUGGCCUGUGUCCCAAGUGGCCUGGAGUGGACGGCACUAGAUGGACAGGUAGAGGCUUAGCCUUGGAUAGCAAGCAUGCAACGAUCCACCCACCCAAACCUGGGAGGCUUAGCACUCGGCAGGUGACCUCAUCUGUUCUCAAGCCAUCACUGGGAGUUGCUCAAUAAAUAUUUGCUGGGGUGAAAUAACUGAAAUGGGAAAUUAGAUCAAAGAGGAAAAAUACCAGCGUUAAGCUAUUGAUGAUAGAAGAAGCGACCAGGUGCCGUGGCUCAUGCCUAUAAUCCCCGCACUUUGGGAGGCCAAGGCGGGUGGAUCACCUGAGGCCAGGAGUUCGAGACUAGCCUGGCCAACAUGGCAAAACCCCAUCUGUACUAAAAAUACAAAAAAUUAGCUGGGCAUGGUGGCAUGCACCUGUAACCCCAGCUACUCGGGUGAUUGAGGCAUAAGAAUCACUUAAACCCAGGAGGUGGAGCUGCAGUGAGCCGAGAUCAUGCUGCUGCACUCCAGCCUCAGUGGCAGAGCGAGACCCUGUCUCAAAAAAAAAAAAAAAAAAAAAAAAGAUGAUAGAAGAAGGCCAGGAACCACUGUUGGCUAGUUAAGUCGGGCUGCCUGGAUUAUUGAGAAUUGACACCUACAUGGUGGUCAGUACUAGAAUGACCAGCCUCUCCUAUGGGCACAGUUCUAUACAGUUUGCAAGGGUUUUUCUUUCUUUCUUUCUUUUUGUUGGGGGGGUCUCACAUACUCAUGGUAUUCCCCAUUUAAGGUCUUGAGGUUUGAGGACCCUAUGUAGACUUACCCUCAGUCUGUUGGGUGAGUUUGCUUCUAUCAUCCUGGAUUCUUGAUUAUCCCUAUUUUUUAGAGGAGAGAACAAACUUCAGGUCUUCCAGAAAGAACUGGCAAAAAUAGGCCUGUAUUCCUCUGAUUUCACUGUCUUCUUUAUGCACCAUGCCACUUUCCUGAACAAUAUACAAGUUCACCAUGUAAUUAUUUUAGAACCCAGGGUCCAAAUAUUUUUAUGGUCAAGAUUUGACAGGCAAAGUCCUCACACUGAGUUUUCCCAGCAAGGAUGCUUUCCACUCACUUGCUGGAUGGCUGUGGGUCACCUCCCCUCACUGGGCCUUGGUUUCCCCAUCUGUGAAAUGAGGUAGUUGGAUUAGAUAAUUCCACAGUUCCCUUCCAGCUCUAGCAUUACCUUCAGAUACCCUGGUGCCUAGAGCAGUAAUUGAACAAGGAGCAUGGUGACCCCAGGUUCUGGGUCAAGAACUCAUCUUGCAGCAUGGAGGAAUCGUGAUGAUGGCUGCAGCCCCCAGAAGAUGAACUUGGCAGGAGCUGGCUGAGAUGAUUUUUCUGCUGACGGUGAAAUGUGCUGGCAGAGUCUAUACAGGUAGGUUGGUGCAGGUGAGGAGUGGAGUGGACACUUUGUCUCUUGUGACCCCGAAUAAUGUUUCCUUGCAGAAUUGGAAGCCUCCAGGACAGGUGGAUGCCAGCUAAAUUUAGCCAUUCACAUUGGCAAAGUAGGUGAUCCAUCUUUCCACACACUGUUCUGUUAGGGCUUCCAGAAAGGCUUUCUGCUCCCAACCCUUAAACACCUCCCUGUGUUUCACUGUCACUGUGCCUGGAAUCAUACCUUCCUGUAGCCUUCCAGUUCUUGUUCAGGUGGUAUGUGCUCUGAGAAAGCUGUGACCAUAAAUGCUGUAAUCAGCCAAGAAUAGCUAAGCUCAGAGCCAGAGCCAAGAAGGAAAGGGUUACCCAAAAUUGAGGCAUGAACUGUUGAUUCACUAAAAAGAGAAAAAGUCCAUUCCAACUUCACCUCAGAGCACACGCCCAAAUUCAAAAAUUAUUUUCAAAGGUCAAAAGGAAAAAUGAGCCCAUUAAAACCAGAGGGAAAAGGAAUAUUUAACAAGUGACUGAAUGGGGGAGCCCAUUUAAGCCAAAAAGCAACAAAAUGACAUCAAGAAGGCAAAGGCCAACCAAUUUGACUACAUUAAAACUAAAUAUUUUCAAAGUCAAGUAAUAUCACAAACAACCAAAAAGCAGAGUGAUUGCAGAUUCUUAAUGUAUAAAAGAACACACCCAAAACUUUAAUAGUAAAACCAAAACAAGUAAGUGUGUGUAAGUCACCUAAAUUGAGUUUACAGGAAAAGAAAUGGAAUUGACUGAAAGACUUUUUGAAAAAACAUUCAACUUCACUAAUAACCAAAGAUCAACAAUAAAAACAACAAGGAAAUACAAAUUUUCCCUAACAAAUUAGGGGAAGAAAUUUAAGAAUACCCAAUGUUGAUGAGGAUAGUGGAAUAGGCACAGUUUCACACUACUGGGGGGAAUAUGAAUUGGUGUACACUUCUUGGAAAGUCGGAAGAAGAGAGAAGUUUUCAGAGAGAGUAAGUGGCCUGUAACUUUACUCAACAUUUAUUGAGUAUCUACUUUGUGUCAGGCAUGAUGAUAGGUUUUUAAAUAUUGGCCAGGCACAGUGGCUCAUGCUUGUAAUCUCAGCAGUUUAGGAGGCCAAGGCAGGAGGAUUGCUUGAGCUCAGAAGUUCAAGACCAGCCUGAGCAACAUAGCAUGACCCUGUAUCUAUAAAAGUACACACACACACACACACACACACGAAGAUAAAUAUGAUCCUUGCCCUUGGGAGUUCAAAGAGUUAAGAAAAACACACAGACAGACACUAAAAUGAUACAUAGGAAGGAGAAGGCCAGAGAGAUGCCUGGGACAUGGAAGCAUGGGCAGCUGGGGUUGGUGGUGCAGGUGUGAAAUUUCAUGGGACUAUCCAAGGAGGUUCCUAGAAGAGGUGACUGGAUGGGUAGGAAUUACUCAAGUAGAAGGCAGAGGCAGAGGUGAGAGGCAUCAUGGAUGAACUCAUAGACAGCUGGAGAUUGCUGAAGCUUGAAAUGAGAGGCUGGGGUGGAGAAAGCAGAACCAGAUCACAUAGUGCUAGUAUGUCUAAUUUAAGACUUGGGUCUUCAAUUGCAACAGGGAGCCCGUGAAGCAUUUUGUGCAAGUAGGUGCCAUGGUAGGAUUUCUCUUUUGGGGUGAUUACUCUGGUUGCUUGGAGAAAUUUGGAGGCGUGUGGGCCAGAGAGGAGAUGAUUGCCUUGGUCCAGGUAGGGUCCAGGAGGGAUAAGGGUAGGGGCCAAGAGGAUGGAAGGAAGUGGUCAGAUCCAGGAGGUGAAAUUGGGAGAAUCUGCUGACUGGUUGGUUGCUGGUGUUAAAGAGAGUAAAGGAUACCUUUCCUGUUUUCUGUCGUGAGUGACUGGGUGAAUGAAAGAACACCCAGGAGAAAGAGCAUGUUUGGGGGCUGAGAGAAAAUUAUUGAGCUCAAUUUUGGACAGGUUGAGUCAGAGGUGGGCAUCCAGGAGGAGGUGGCCUGCAAGGAGCUAGAUAGAGGUUCUAGAUCCUAGCAGGAGAUUUAAACAAGAGAUUUGGAUUGAGACUAUGGUGCUUGUAGCCAUGGGCUUUGGUGAACUGGCUCUAGCAGAACGUGUCAGCUGAGAAAAGAGGGGUCCAGGAACAAGAGCCUUGCCCCCAUUUAAGGGGUGGGCAGAGAGAGGGGAGCCCACAAAGGUGAAAAAGAAGUCAGAGAGACAUAGAAAAAGCACCUGCAGCCUAUGUUGGCAUGGAAACCUGGGGAUGUGGAGCACUUCCAAAAGAGAGCCAACAGACAAAAGAGAAAGGCCAGUUAGAGAGGGACCGAGAGCCCGCUGGAUGUAGUAAUUAGGGGCCACUAGACCCUCAUCAAGAGCAGUUUCCUGUGAGAGAUGGGGCAGAGGAAAAUGAAAGGGCAAAGAAAGCAGGCAGCAUGGCCACCUCUCAGGGAAAGCUGCUAGAGUAACAGUUUGGGCCAGGGGACAAUUUCUGAGCUGGCUCUGGACUGAGAUGACAUAAGGAUAGAUGUGAUAGGAGCAGUCCAGAAGGCUAUCACCUAGAGUCCUCCCGCCUGUCUGAGUCAGAGGCAGGAGCAAAGGGCGAGGGUGGGCAAGGAAGGAAAAUGUGCAUAGCUGGCAUCAAGUAGGAAAGUAUAUGUACCUGUGCCAGUUGGGAGCUCACCAAAGAAGUGUGGGCAUCUCAACGGGGAUAGAUGAAGAACCAGAGAUGCACUUAAAAGAAGAAGGACAAGGCCAGAAACGAGUUGGUGACAUUUUAGAAAUGGGUACAGGAAGAGAGUCCUGCUGAAGAGACUGAGAAGGAGGGGCCAGAGGAGAAGACCAAAAACAUGGGGUUCCUAGAAGCCAGAGGAGAGUUUCCAAAAGGACAGAGUGGCCAUUGGUGGGCCACAUGCACAGAGGUCAGUGGAGGCUCAGGCAUCUCCUAGACCUGGCCUUUGGGGACUUUUGUCACAGCAACUUUGGGGCAAGGGGCAGAAGCUCCUCUUGAUGUGGGGGGAAUGAACUGGGUCUGGCUGAGAAAGGAGGGAGGGGGAGUUGGAGCAGGCAGUAGGUCCAGGAAGGAGCUGAUUCUUCCAGGAGACAUGGGAGGGAGGAAGCAGUGCAAGCCCAGUUGAGAGCAGAGUGGGGCAGUGAGAGGGGCCCUGGAGCUCCGGGAUUAAGUGUAGAGAUGAAGGGAUUAGCCGUGUUGGUGAAAAGGUACAAAAGUAAAUUAUGUACAUUUUAGCAAGUAACCUGAUCUCCAUGUUCUUUGGGAGGCCUUUUCUCUGCCCUCUGGGUACUGACUCCAGCUCUAAUUAGCACGGGUUUGUCUGCCUCGUGGGUGGGGCCAUGUCUUUCUCAUUUUCUUGUACCUUUCGGCACCUAGCAACGGGCAGCCAGCUAGGUAGGGGCAGAAUAAUUAUUUUCUGCUUGAAAUCCAGUGUCUGAAAUUGAGAUUCAGAAAUUUUUCUUUGGAUCAAAAAGACUUCAUGACAAUAUCCAGGGAGCAAUGAAGUAGGUAAGGCCCAAGUCACAGGCUUGAAUGGGACAUUCAGGGUCUCAGUAGCAGUCUGUUUGUUGGUAUUGCCUAGACAUCAAAGAAUUCUGUUUCUUCCCCAUUUGGACAGAAGUCAAAGUCCAGAGAGAGGCUUGGUUUAACUGGCUGAGUUUGGGCCUUGUGCCACCCCCGAUAGGACCUGGGUGGUAAGAGGCAGGACCUGGAGGAGGUGCUUCCAUGGCUUCCAUGUGAGAGAACGGCCCAGGUCCCACCACAGCCACAUAAGAUGGAAGAUUUCCCUAAAAGUAGUAAGGGGCUUCAGGGAGGAAUAAGGCAUGCUAAAAAACCAAAACUCCCAGAUAUCCGUUAGAAGAAGUAGCCAGCUUAGAGGCAGGAGACUUCCAGGUAAGAGAGGGAAAGGCCUGAACUAGACUAGUGGGUAUGGAGAGAGAUCAGAACUUGUGGUAGAUAAAAACCAGAAAUAAUUAGUGAGUGCUUAUCUGUGAGAGUGAGAGAGAAGGUCAAGCCAAAGGUAAUUCCCAUGUGUCUUGGUUUUGUUUGUUUGUUUGUUCAUAGAGACAGGGGCUCACCAUGUUGCCCAGGCUGGUCUCCAUCUCCAGGGCUCAAGCAAUCUUCCCACUUUGACCUCCCAAAGUGCUGCGAUUACAGGCAUGAGCCACCGUGCCCAGCCCCAUGUAUCUUGAGUGGAGUCCUAGGUGGAUGGUGGGGAGGCCCCUGGGGUGGGGAACACAGCAUGGAGAGCCAGUUUGAGGGACAGGAUAGUGGACUCAGACACAGCCAAGUGGGGCCCAGCAGACACUUGGAUCCUGGUGUCCAGGGCUCAGGAGGAGAUUUAGCUGGAAGCACUAGCCCAGGGCUGUCACUACUCAAGAGUAAUAGGGACCCUAAGCAUAAGUGAGAUCACCAGGGAGAGUGUGUAGAGAAAAAAUGGGAGAGGGCUCAGGGCAGAAUCAUGAGUCAUAGUGACAUUUGAGGAGCCAGGUAUGGGCAGGCGAAAAAGGAGAAAGAGAAGGAAGGGCCUGAGAGAUGCAACAAACAAUCAGGAGAGGGGGUUGCCAUGACAACCAAGGUAGGGAAGAGUUUCAAGGAGAAAGUAAUCAACACUGUCAAAUGCAGCAGAGAAUUCCAAUAAGAUAGAGAAUUUUUCCUUUGGAUUUCAUGAUUAGUAAGUUUUGAUGGCCUUAAUAUGAGCAUGUUGAGGGAGUGAUGGCCUAGGCUGGAAUAAUGGUGAGAUGUGAGAGGACAUGAUCUGUUACUGAGUCCUCUAAGGAGUCCAGAAGGGAGAUUUGGAGAUGUGAAGGGUAGGGGCUGGGAGGCUGAGGCUAGGAAAGAUGAGCAGGUGUAUAGGCUCAGCUCCCAAAGUGUUAAGCAUCCAUUGUUUAAUACGAAAGUUGAUACAUUCCACAUAAUUCUCUUUUAGCACCUAAUUGUGUGCCCAGCCCAGCAGUGUGCCUAGCACUGUGGAUACUUGGGUGAAUGAAUUAAAAUAGUCAGAAUCCUUGUUCUCAUGGAGCAUGCAUGGUAGUAGGGGAGAAAGACAUAGUCAGAUAAUCACAUAUGUAAAUGUACAAUUUCCAACACUGAUAGGAACUCUGAAGGAAAGGUACUGAGUACUGAAGGGUGUACCACCAGGGGACCUGCCCUCAUCUGACUCUUGGAGGCUUCCCUGAGGAGGUGAUCCUCCAAACCAAAGUAGGAAGAAGAGAACAAAGUUAACGACAGAGCAAAUUGGAAAGCAUUCUGAGCAAAGGGCCUGACUAGGGAGGAAGGAGAGGUGAGACCAGAGAGGCAAGCAGUUCUGGCUAUGCAGAGCUUUGGAGACCAAGGCUGAGCUCCUGCCAACAUCCUGAGAGCGAGGGAAGCAGGGGAUGUGACCUGCCCUGGUAUGUUGCUGUAAUCUGCCUGAGACUCUGGCUGUUCUGUGGAGAAAUCAUUAGAGCAGCAUAGGUAGACAAGGAGGCAAGUUCGGAAGCUUUGUUGUAGUGGACAGGAUUUGGACACGAUCUGCAUAUUCUGGUUAGUCUUGGUGCUGGAUGGAAUGAAGAGGGGCUGGAAGAGGGCAGCGUUCAGGAUGACCCCGGAGCUUCUGGUUUGCCUUACUGGUGAGAUGGCAAUGCCAUUUUCAGAGCUGGGGAGCCCUGGAAAGGGGCCAGGUCUGUAAGGUAGACCCCAAGUCCAGUGGUAACAGCUGAGACGUCCCAAUGCAGAUGGAGAAGAAACAGCUGAAGGCACAGCUCCAGAGCACAAGGUGAGAAAUUAUGGAGACCAGUCCAGGGCUCCAGGGGGCUCCCAAAUGGAAAUAUGGAUCCAGAUGUUGACAGGCUUCUGGGGCAUUUUUAGGCCAGGGGAUGGCUGAGGACAAAGAAAUCAAGCCCAAGGAGCACCAACACUUGGAGAUGAGAAAAGAGAAGAAGAAUCCUCUGAGAGCACUGAAAAGAAAGAGCCGGGAGGUUUCUCAGCAGAAAGACGGGGUGGUCAGCAGUGGGUGUGUGCAGAGAGGUCAGGAGGACCAGGGCGAUCCCUGAACUCCUCCAGUGCGCACCUGCACAACCUCCGUGGUGCCUCUAGAAUUGGGUAGCAUGGUGGCCCUGCUGAUGAGCACCCCAAGGGGCCAUUGGAGGACCUCUGAGAAUCUCUGCCAGAGCAGUAUGGGUGGAAGUCAAUCAAGGAAAGAAGAAGAAGCAAGAUCCAGGACUUUUAAUCUUAAAAGAGAGAGCAAUGCUGGCCGAUGAGCAUUCUGAGGAUAAGGAGCCUGAGUAAUUGAGCGAUUAGUGAUGGAGACAAUUAGUGAGAUGAGCUCCCAAAGGGGUUGGGAUCAACUGUGGAGGUGGAUAAAUUAGUUUGGGGCAAUAAUGUAUAUUUGACUGAAUGGGGCAAAAUUAAAUUAUGUACCUUUUAGAGAGUAACUUGAUCUCCUUGUUCUUUUGGGAGCUUUUAUCUGACCUGUGUACCGACUAUAGUUCUAAUUAGCACCAGUUUUAUCCUGUCUUUUGGCUGGGAUUAUGUCUUAUUAUUUUGUGUGUUUCUCAGCACCUAGCAACAGGUAGUAAGCUCCUUGGGUGCUGAAUCAGUAUUUUCUGCCUUGGAAUCAAAUGUCAGAAGUCAACACUCAAACUUCUUUUGACCAAAAAGAUUCUACGACAAUUAUUCAGAAGUUACAAUGCAAAGAAGAAGAAUUGGAUGUUAAGUCUUGCGUAGCAGGGGUUAUGGGGAGUGGAUCAAGACAAAGUAGAGGUAUCUGCUCCCCUCGUCCUUGUAAGCUCCAUGCCAUUUAUCCAUGCUCACAUUCAUUAUCUCAUACAAGUUUCACAUUUCCCCACAAGAAAUGGAGCAUUACCCCAUUACCUACUCAUAGAGGAGGAACUGGAAGCCAGAGAGGGAGAUGCCUUAUUGACACAGAGCACAAGUGGCAGGAGCUAGCUUCAGACCUCAGUCCAUCCGGUGUGGCAGUCCCUCUUCCCAGGACCAGGUGGAGCUGGAGAGAAAGAGGAAGAGGAGUCUGUGAGGUCCAGAUGGAGAUGCUUGGCAGGCCCUUUCCAAAGGUGGGAGGUGAGGUCGGCCUGGAACCCUACUGGAUGCUAAACUGUCCUGCCACACUGCUGAUGAAAGCAGGUCCCCACCACAGCGUAUAUACAUAGUGUGUUUGCAUCUAAAAUGUCUAUAGUUGUUUGAAAUGCUUAAAUCUUUAACCCAUCUGAGAUGUAUUUUCAUGUGUGGUGUGACACAGAGCUCUAAUUUGCUCUUUUUCCAAAUAUCCAGUUUGCUAAGCACCAUUUAUAGUUCCAACACCAUCUUUUCUCUCAGUUCCCUGUCUAGACUCCAGUUCUGUUGAUCUAUUUGUCUAUUUCUGAGCCAAUAGUACAUAUUAAUGAGGAAAGCUUAAUAAAGUGUCUUAUCGCUUGAUAAGAUAAGCACUCCACCCUUUCCCCAAGGCCUUUAUUCUUUUUUUUCUUUUUGAGACGGAGUCUUGCUCUGCCACCCAGGCUGGGGUUCGGUGGUGCAGUCUCCGCUCACUGCAACCUCCGCCUCCCAGGUUCAAGUGAUUCUCCUGCCUCAGCCUCCUGAGUAGCUGGGACUACAGGCACAUGCCACCAUGCCCGGCUAAUUUUUGUAUUUUUUGGUAGAGAUAUGGUUUCACCAUGUUGGCCAGGCUAGUCUCGAACUCCUGACCUCAAGUGAUCCACCCAUCUUGGCCUCCUAAGGUGCUGGAAUUAUAGGCAUGAGCCGCUGUGCCCAGCCCCUUAUUCUUUUUUUAAAUUGUCUUGGUCAACACCGCAUGUUCUCACUCAUAGGUGGGAAUUGAACAAUGAGAACUCAUGGACACAGGAAGGGGAACAUCACACUCCGGGGACUGUUGUGGGGUUGGGGGAGGGGGGAGGGACAGCAUUAAUAGAUAUACCUAAUGCUAAAUGACGAGUUAAUGGGUACAGGAAAUCAACAUGGCACAUGGAUACAUAUGUAACAAACCUGCACAUUGUGCACAUGUACCCUAAAACCUAAAGUAUAAUAAUAAUAAAAAAAAAAGAAAAUGUAGCACCCAAAUUCAGAUGUGUUUUAAGUAUACCAGAUUUUGAAAACUUAGUACAAAAAAAAAUACGAUCUCUCAAUAAAUUUUACGUUGAUUAUUAAUUGAAAAAAAUAAAAUAAAAUAAAAUUGUCUUGGUCAUAUUGCACAUUUACUUUUUCAGGUACAUUUUAUAAUCAGCUUGUCAAAGUUCUGUGAACAAAAUACCUGUUGGAAGUUUGAGAAGAAUUGCAUUGAAGGGGAAAUUGACAUCUUUAGAAUAUCAGUUCUUCCCAUCUGUGGACAUGGUGUCUGUCUCCUUUUAAUCAGAAUUGUAUUUGUUUUGUUUUGUUUUGUUUUUAAUGCCUUUUAAUAAAGGUUGGUUGCUUUUGUCAUAAAGAUUUUUCACAGUUCUUAAUAGGUUUAUUCCUGAGUACCUUAUUAGUUUUGUUGCUUUUGUGAGUGGAAAAACUGUCCCUUUUUUCAUUUUGCUUUCCAAAUUUUAAUCAGUUUACUAAUCACUGUGCUUCAUUCAGAGACACACACACAGCAAAUGUGCUUUGUCCCUGGGCACACAAAUGAAAACACAGCACACAUGUAAAUCAGAGCUAAUUGGCUGAAAAUGAAUUAGAAUUUUUGAAUUAAAUUUUAAUUAUACAAGUAAUACAUGAAUACAUUUUCCUUUAAAUAAAAUUAGAGCAUUUCAGGUAAAGAAGUCUCUACUGGCCUCCCCAACCUGACCUCAGGCCCCUUCCCCACUUUAGAGGUAGCUGCUGUUAGGCAUUUGCUGUUGAUCCAAAAUGUUUUCCUAUGCGCAUUGAAACACGUCCUGUGUUCUAUUGUUGUUUUUGUUUGCUUGCGUAGAUGUGGUGGUGUACACACUGGAGGUGUUGCUCCUGAGCUCAGGGCGCCUUACAGGACUCUCCUCAUGUCGCGUGUCACCUGCCGCAGCUGGCUCCACUGCCCCUUUCAGCUGGCUGCUGGCAACCAGAACUGAUUGUGUUAUGAUUUAUUUAAUUGCUGCUUAUUGAUUGACUAUUAAAAGGCUUCCAGUCUUGUUUCAAUAAGGCAAACCUGAAACAGCAUCCUUGUAUAUGCCACUUUUGCUCAUGUACAAGUGUUUUUCUGGGGCAGAUACUUAGAAACGGAAUUGAUGGGUCAUAGAGUCUACACAUCUUAAAUUCUAAUAGUAACUGCUGAAAUGUUCUUCAAAGUACUUUUCUGAUUUAAUUUCA